AUUGAACGCUGGCGGCAGGCCUAACACAUGCAAGUCGAACGGUAACAGGAAGCAGCUUGCUGCUUUGCUGACGAGUGGCGGACGGGUGAGUAAUGUCUGGGAAACUGCCUGAUGGAGGGGGAUAACUACUGGAAACGGUAGCUAAUACCGCAUAACGUCGCAAGACCAAAGAGGGGACCUUCGGGCCUCUUGCCAUCGGAUGUGCCCAGAUGGGAUUAGCUAGUAGUGGGUAACGCUCACCUAGGCGACGAUCCCUAGCUGGUCUGAGAGGAUGACCCAGCCACACUGGAACUGAGACACGGUCCAGACUCUACGGGCAGCGUGGGAAUAUUGCACAAUGGGCCAAGCCUGAUGCAGCCA
rnacentral:rRNA from 1 species